UGCAGCCAAGUAUAUUGCUUUCAGCAAACUCAAAGAUGCAGGAGCAGUUGCAAGUUUAGCUGCAUCUAGAAUCUAUGGUUUGAAUGUGCUUGCACAAGAUAUUCAGGAUGAUUCUGAUAACGUCACCCGCUUCCUUAUGCUGGCUAGGGAGCCCAUUAUUCCUCGUACUGAUAAACCAUUCAAGACAAGUGUAGUCUUUUCACUUGAUGAAGGUCCGGGGGUGCUUUUCAAGGCACUAGCUGUUUUUGCCAUGCGGAAUAUAAACCUUACCAAGAUUGAGAGUCGUCCACUGCAAAA
rnacentral:misc_RNA from 1 species